rnacentral:rRNA from 1 species
AGUGAACGCUGGCGGUAGGCCUAACACAUGCAAGUCGAACGGCAGCACAGGAGAGCUUGCUCUCUGGGUGGCGAGUGGCGGACGGGCGAGGAAUACAUCGGAAUCUAAUUUUUCGUGGGGGAUAACGGAGGGAAACUUACGCUAAUACCGCAUACGACCUACGUGUGAAAGCAGGGGAUCUUCGGACCUUGCGCGAUUGAAUGAGCCGAGGUCGGGUUAGCUGUUUGGCGGGGUAAAGGCCCACCAAGGCGACGAUCCGUAGCUGGUCUGAGAGUAUGAUCAGCCACACUGCAACUGAGACACGGUCCAGAAUCGUACGGGAGGCAGCAGUGGGGAAUAUUGGAUAAUGGGCGCAAGCCUGAUCCAGCCACACCGCGUGGGUGAAGAAGGCCUUCGGGGUGUAAAGCCCUUUUGUUGGGAAAGAAAUCCAUCUGGUUAAUACCCGGGUGGGAUGACGGUACCCAAAGAAUAAGCACCGGCUAACUUCGUGCCAGCAGCCGCGGUAA